AGAGGGGUGUCCGAGUGGUUUAAGGAGCACGCUUGGAAAGCGUGUGUAGGUCUCAAGCUUACCGAGGGUUCGAAUCCCUUCCCCUCUACGA
rnacentral:tRNA from 1 species